AAUUCUUUCUUCUGAGGAGACAAGGACUGAGGUUGCUGUGGACCCGUAUGGAUUCGCCGCCGGUAACUUGCGUAACUCGGAUAUCUGCCACUGCUAACAUAUUUGGUCCACAUGACUCAGAUACCUUCCUAGUGGCCAUUGAGCUCCAGACAAUCCUCAAUGAGGAAAGCCAUCCUCUCAAUAUUCAAGAGUCACCCUUCUAGAGAGGACCUCUGCACUUCCCAUCAGUGGGACAAGACAGUGGUGAAAUCCUGCCCCUGUCUCCCUUGGACCUGGCUGGAUACCACUUUCACCAACUGAUGCAGCCAACUCAGCCCUGACGGGUAGCAAGGAGCCAAGAUCCACCCGACCACGACCACCCCUCUGUCAGCAGGAAGCAGUUACAGAAGACAGAAGUCAUCCAUUUUGGAUGACAGACCUUCAUCCAAAGAUUUGAGGUCCUGGACUCUUGAGAUCUAUAGCCAGUUGCCUUGGAACCUCUGCUGAGUACUUCAUCAAGCACCUGCUGUUUGAAGAGGGAGUAAGCCAGAAUAAAAUUCUCGCUCUUCAGAGUAAUGGAGCAUGAGUCUGCCACACAAAACUUGAGAGAGAGUCCUUUAUUUCAAAGACUGUAAAGUUGGAAGAAUUCAUUCAUCCGCAAAGUCAAAUGUCAAAAGUUGUGCUUCCCACUCCUCAUCAGGCCUGUGGUUAACAAUGCACUCGACUGACAGCUCUGUCAUGCAACAGGGUGCGUGAGAUCGCGAGAGCUGAUGCCUCUGCCUCUACAGUCUGAAAAGUUGCCAGACCAUAUGCUACUUAGUUUAGCCUGUGUGCAUCCUGCCCUGGGACCUGAUUUCUACUUUAUCUUUAAAAAUAUAAAACCUUGGUGCCCUUUAAGUUCUGCUACUGUCUUAAAGUUUUAAAGAAGACAUCAAUGGGUCCAAUUAAUAAUAAAUGUGGCUUCCAUUUAUGGUGUGCUUACAUUUUGCCAGGAUGUCAUCAUUUCUUUACGUGUGCAUCAUCUCACUUAAUUCUAAAAACAACUGCGUGGCCUGGGCAAAAUUAAUCUCCAGGUUUUAGAUUAGGAAACUAAUCCCCAAAGAAGUGAAGUAUCCUGAGAAUCUUGUAGAUUUUGGCUUGUAGAUUUUAUAUUCUUGUUCAAAGCACUUCCUUACAUGGCCUUAAUGUGAGACAUGUAUAACGUAAUAGUGCCACAUUUAGUCAUAUAUAAAGGAUUUUUCAUUCUAGAGC